GGCCACAAAGACAGGAUGAUGUUCUUGAUGUCAUGUGGGAGGAAGGUAAGGAUAACAUGCAUUAGACUCCCACAACUGAUCACAACUCCAAGAAUGUUGUCUUUUGAUAAUGUGCUGAGUGCCCAUCACAACAACUGCAUUCAGGUACAAACUUUGCUUACUUUCCCCAAACUACAAACUGUUUUCAACCGGAAUAGUAAAAUGGAGCCGCUACUUCUUUUUCAUGUCCAAACAUUGCUCACCCCAUCUUGUUAUUACAAUAAAAUAUAUAAGAUUAAAAUACUAUCCUAAACAAGUUAAAAUGACGAAAAUGUCGAAUGACCUAAAUUUCAUUUAAUCCUUAAUUUUUUCAUAAAUUGGAGCAGAAAAUUCCAGGAAAAAAAAAGGGGGCAUGUUAUUAUUUCCCAGGAAAUAAUGCAAAUAUACACCAGAAAUGUGAAAAAUAGAAAAAAAAAAUAUAAAAUUAGAAUAAAAUAAGUAUUACUUGUUUUUCGCAAUAAAUCAAAGUGUUGAAUAGUUGUGAUGGAGAAAGACAACAUACGGCGACUAUAAGAACCGUCAGCUUUGGAUUUACCGUGGGCCAAAUUGGACCAUUGGUGGGCCCAGUAUCAAUUACUUUGUAACGUGAUACAUGAAAGCUUGUCGAAACUGGGCUUCACAGGGACUGGGCCCAAUCUUAUGGAUGGGCCACUUUCUGCCUGUGGGCCCAAGAUAACGUGGAUAAUGCAACAAAAGACGGCCAGUUAACAGAAUCUCCUCUAAUCCUCUCCCACCAAUCAGCAAUCAUCUCCCACGCGGGACUUAGCUACCCCACCAUAACAUGACUCACACAAUAAAACCUCUUUAUAUAUUCAAAGAAGAAAUCAUCAAGAAGGUUUAACCUCCUUCUUCUUCAUUCUUUGUAUACCCUCGUUUUUCUUGUUUCCCUCUAUGUUGAAUAUUGGGUAUAGUUGUCAUUUUUUUCCCUAUUAUUCUUAUAUGUUAUAGGACGAACCAUCCCAUUUCGUAUAUUUUCUCAUCUCGAUUAAUUUUUUUAAAAAUAAAAGUAUCAGCACGAAAAAUCAUGGGAUCACCUGAAUCUUCUGCAAAAUACAUCCAUAAGGUAAAGUGCAACAUCUAAUAGAAGAGUGCAUAGUAUUCAAGAUGAGCAAAGAGGAAUGCAUGGAGGCUCUCUCCAAACAUGCAAAUAUCAACCCAAUCAUCACUUCCACAGGUACAUGUAUAAUUAAUAAACCACCAAUCAUCUUUCAAUCUUUCAACCAUUCUCGUCCGUACGUGUCAUGUUUAAUUCAAUGACAAGAGAAAUAUAACACACUUGUCAUAUAAUAUAUGUGGGCCCGACUAAGAGGGUGUUUGUCUAAGCUUAUAAGCUCGUCAAAACAUCUUAAAAGAUGUUUGAGAACUUAUUACAUUCAAACACUCUCGAAUUAAUGCGUUAUUUUUGUACAACGAGGAAUACGAUGGAGUUUGAUGCAAAAACAGUAACAAUGAGGUGCAUGCUUCCUUGUUAGUCUUAGUGAGUAGUGUACUGUUUCUAUUUCAUAUUAACACUCAGUGUGGAAGGAGCUGGAGAAAGAGAACACAGAGUUUUUUGAGGCAUACACCAAGCAAAGAUCGGAGGGAAGCAGCCGUACCAUGAGAAACGUGCUUCCCCAUUCUUCUAAGAAAGAUUAGCGACCAAAGUACUGAAUUCUUCCCACCAAUCACUCCACGUAUCAGUAGUCGUGUUUUGUUUCAACGACGUUGGUGUUUCCAUGGACCAUUUGUCCGUUUCUAUGAAAAUGUAUGUGUAAGAUUACGACAUAUCAACAUUCUAAUGUUCUCUCCCCGUACCCAUAAAUAUUAUACUACGUU